GAGUUUGAUCGUGGCUCAGAACGAACGCUGGCGGCAUGCCUAACACAUGCAAGUCGAACGGGAUCCAGGCUUCGGCCUGGUGAGAGUGGCGGACGGGUGAGUGACGCGUGGGAACCUGCCCAAUGGUCUGGGAUAACCGCGGGAAACUGCGGCUAAUACCGGAUAAGCCCGAGAGGGGAAAGAUUUAUCGCCGAUGGAGGGGCCCGCGUCCGAUUAGGUAGUUGGUGAGGUAACGGCUCACCAAGCCGACGAUCGGUAGCUGGUCUGAGAGGAUGAUCAGCCACACUGGGACUGAGAUACGGCCCAGACUCCUACGGGAGGCAGCAGUGGGGAAUAUUGGACAAUGGGGGCAACCCUGAUCCAGCAAUGCCGCGUGAGUGAUGAAGGCCUUAGGGUUGUAAAGCUCUUUUGGCGGGGACGAUGAUGACGGUACCCGCAGAAUAAGCCCCGGCUAACUUCGUGCCAGCAGCCGCUGU
rnacentral:rRNA from 1 species